rnacentral:ribozyme from 13 species
AAAAAAAAAAAAAAAAAAAAAAAGCGACAUUGGCAAACAUCCAACAAUGGCUUGAUGGAUAGGGUUCCUCACACAUUCUCUACUCUCUCUUAUCUUUAACAGUGUCGUUCGAAAUGCCAAAUCGGCGCAAAU